ACUUGGCCAAUAAAUCUGAUUCUGAUUCUGAUUCUGUACACACUGCUGCCUAUUUCAGACUUUCUAUUUCUCCAUUUUCCUUUCACUUUAUUCUGAUUUGAAGAUUUUGGACUUUCACUGAGAUGAGACCGACCCUGUGAGGAUCCUGAGGCAUCUCGGAUGUUCCAGCUCCAGUUAGAGUGUUUCAUGAAGUGUUCAGACAACUACGUGUGGACUUUGAGGAUGACAACCUCCUCAUCAAUACACAAUUAUCAGACUGCAUAUUUAUAAUUACACCCUCCAGUGUCACCCAGUGUCUGUCGCCUGGACUUAAAAAUAUUAAGAGAAGAGGCUUGUCUAAUGGACAGUGGCAAGGCAUUCCAGAGCCUGGGGGCAGCAAUACAGAAAGCAAUUAAGCCUUGACUUUGGGGUAAACAAUAGAUCCUGGUUGGAAAACCAAAGGGAUCUACAUGACACUGUCCCUACUCUAUGCACAAAGUCCCUGAGCUCCAUGAAGACAUGGUGUGGAGGUGAAGGUUGGAGUGAAGAACACGAGUGUCCUACACAGAGCACUGACUCUGACUCAACACCACUGAACACCUUUGGGAUGAACUGUAACCGGAGUCUCCACAACAUCUCAACGUCAGAGUCUGAUCUCACGAAGGUUCUAGUAGUUGAAUGAAUUAACAGAAUUGACCCACAGUCAAGCUCCAACAUCCAGAGGAAAGAAGAGGAGAGUGGAGCGCAUUAUAACAGCAAAGGGGGAGAAACUGUAUGCCAUGUCGUUAAGAUAGAUACUGUUUCCCUGAUCCGUUGUUUAUGAGUCAAUCAGCUGAUUCAUGACGAAUGGUUUGUAAAAUGGAAUAUACAAAUAAAGUGGUGUCUGGAAAUUUCAUUACAAAUUACUAUACAUAUAUUACUAUACAGGCCUGGAUCAGCAGAUCAGCACGUCAGCAGAUAAGCAGGUCAGAUCAGUGCGUCUGAGUGGAAUUUCUCAUGUCCUCCAAUUUCCUCUGGACAUUCCAGUUUCUUCCUACUUUGCAAAUACUUUCCAGUAAGCAUCUUGUAUCCGGUAAAUAACAACUACAUUUACAUUUCCAGCAUUUAGCAGAUGCCCUUAUCCAGAGUGCUAAAUGUGCAUCAGAGUCUGAAUGUGUGUAUGCAUGGUGUCCUGUGGUGUGAUGUGAUGGACUGGUGUCCCCUCCAUGAUGUCUUCCUGCCUCACACAGUGUUCCGAGAAUAGAUCCUUCACCCAUUCCUUUACAGUACAUACCUGAGCAGGAGUGACAGAAGAAGCCCACGUCUGAUCAUCUGAACACAUUACACACCUGAAAAUCACGUGAAAGGUUAUUUCAGUUGGAAACAACCAGGAAACUACACUGCUCUGUUACAGUCAUUGUCAAAGUUAACAGCUACUAAUGUAAAUGAAUAGUUGGUAGUUUGUCAUUUCAGUAAUAUGUUUUACUGUAUAUUAUUGUCUUUGCCCACAUGAUUGAGCAGAUGACUAACAAGGAAGUUUGUGCCUUUCAUGCUUGCAGUUCUUGUUAAAACUAGAAUCCAUAUCAAUCUGCAUUCAUCCUUGGUUUUUGGUAGCUUUGUCGGUAUGUUCAAUUGUACAUGAUUAUUUUGAAGUAUUCGUAAUUUGUAUUGUUUGAAUACACCUCUGAUAUUGAUCAUAUGGAAGUUGUGUAUUUCAAUUUCUUGAUAACUGUACUUCAUAUUGUUUAUUUUUUUCUAUAUUUUUUAUUUUGUUUAAGUUUUACCCUACCCUCAUUAAAGUACAAAAAAGGACA